ensembl:lncRNA
AACAAAUCAAUCUGCCUUUAGCAACUUCCCCCGGAAAUUAGUUGGCAACACUGCACUUCCAGUUUGACAAUGGCCAGGAUGUUUUAUGCGCGACAUUUCACUAGAUUAAUAACUUAAAUAUAACAGAGGCCACUUGUUAAGUCGAAACAUGCAAAUAACGAGUUCAUAGCGUAAUAUUUUCCAAACCUGCUGCUGGAGUAUCCAAAGCACUGCAUGCUAGACUCCAAAAUAGUACUUCAGAUGGCAUUUUAGACACCUUAAAAGCUCGUUUCAAACCAAAAUGGGCAACCGAAUAUCUUCUGGAAGGGUCAUUUUACGAAGCUGUUAAUAAAGGCUGGAACAUCAAUGAUUUCAGACGUAAUUUUGUCGUUAAUGAUCACGUGACCCUGAGUGGCGCGAAGCAAGGACACUGACAGACAAGACGGACAGGUUGUACUGACCGUUUGUAGAAGUAUCCUAUUGUGAUGCCACCUCCAAGUAGGAUGAUAAUGGCCAUCAUGAAGACGGCCAGAACAUAACCUGCCAAGAGUCCCAAGGUCUUUCUUCUUCUUGGGUCCACUCCUGACCUGCUGUCGGACUCCCUUCACGGGCUGCACCGCCGCACCCUCCACCUGCGAGGGGAAGGAGUCAGUGUUUUCGAAGGUCUCCACCAUCCUUGGGGUGAGUCCCUGAGUGGGGACCGACUCUUCUGGAGCAGUGGCUUCUGUGGAGUUUUGGUCUGUGGGGUGACAGGAUAUGAUUGUUUUUUUUCUCUCUCAAUCUGUGUGCUAAUGUGAAUCAGCUUUGCACUCCCAUCAAUUAACAAAUCAUUUAUACUAAGCAGUUUUGCUGUGGUCUGGGAGUGAGUGCUCUGAACGGAAAAUUGUUUUCUUGCGGUUGUUGAUUGGAUGGAGGCAGAUCAGAAUGUGAGCUUGCAGAUUAUAAGAAAGGUGUGAUAUAUUUACGUGGAUUAAAUGACUGGAAAAGUAAGGCAUACAUCACCAG